rnacentral:lncRNA from 1 species
GAUUUUCUAACGUUGAGUUAAAUCCAACUCAAAAUUCUAAGAUUCUAAAACCAUAGAAGCAAUAAAUUGAGUUUAUCAGGAUAAUUUUACUAUUUUUGAACACAUCAAUUUCAUAUGUAUAUGUAAUCUGUUCACAAUCUUAAAUACUGCCCUGAUUGAAACAUGUGAUGAUAAUGACUUAUUAUAGAGAACAUUAUAUAAAAACAAAGACAUUUGCACACGUCUAUAAAAACGAAAGUGAUGCAUUGAUAACUUGCUAGUUAAGAAACCAACCCAACUGGCUAAAAUUCAAUUUACUUAAUUGAUAAAAGGAUAGUUAUAUGCAACUAACCAAAUAUGACACCGAAAAUUAAAUAUAUCUCAACAACUUUGUACUAAAAACUAAAUACAACCAUCUAAUUUUCAAUGUAGACUAUACUAGUAGUGGGGUCAUGAGUAUAACUCUCAAAUGAGAAGUAAACAAGAAAGUAUUUACUCAAUUCACUAUAGGACAACCAUAUUUUAAAAUUCACUAGAAUAUAGGACCCAUGUCGUGCUCGAGUGCGAGAAAACCAGCUGAUAUGAAGGGUUUCUUGGCUUGUAAGGUGAAGAGUGU